UUCCUGCAAUAUUUCUUUUCUGGCUUUUUUUUUGUUUUCCUGACUGUUUGGUAUAAUGCUCAAAAUCCAUGUCCUUUUUUUUUUAUCCAAAUCCUGUUAAUUUUCUUCUUCCUCAGUUUCUUCAUCUGUUUUAUCUUGUCCAGCUUGCAAGCAGAAAGGAGUAAGAGGAGCAGGAAAAAGUUUAAGGGGCAAAGCGAAAAGGAGUGCAUCCACUUUAAUUCUCCAUUCAGGUUUUAUACAGGACAGCAGUACGAGGAAACAGAAACUUCAGACCAGGAUGCCCUCACUGUGGAUGGGAUACCACUGUGAGUGCAAGGGUUGUGAAUUGUUUCCUUUGGGAUUAACACUCCUGUGCCAGUCCCCCAGGCUGUCAUUCACUUCCUGGGAUUAAUACUGUCCAACCUUCUUCAGCACUGAUAACUGCUCCAUCCUUUGCCACCUGCUCCUUCAGUUGUUGGUAAGGUUAAUUCAGUUAUACACCCAAGCCAGUCUACAGAGGGAAAUCUUUCCCGGAAAAAGGAGCUGCAAGAGGUGCAAAAUCUCCUGAAACACUGAUAUAGGCCACCUCUUGCAGGCAAAGACUGUCAUUUAAAUCAAACAAAAAAAAAAUCUGAAAGUGUUUUCAAAGAAAAUAAUUAAGUUUUAGUUUAGAGAGUCAAGUUAAGAGCUGAGAAAACCUGUGGCAGCCUCAUGUUUAAUUUCCGCUGCUUUUAAAAAAUGUGGUUGACCGAAUAUUUC
rnacentral:lncRNA from 1 species